GGUACCGCCCUAAGUUUAUUAAUUCGAGCUG
rnacentral:rRNA from 1 species